rnacentral:lncRNA from 1 species
CUACAGUGGUUAGAUUUCAGACGAACUUCUACAACAGACAUGCUCCAAUAGCCAAAUUUCUAUAGUGACCGACUAUCUCUGGUGUCUUCCGUACCUCUCUGGCCAUCAACCUUCGACAGUGCUAGCCGACCUUCCACAGAUCCAUCCGGUCUCCUCCAGCGGAUGAACUUCCACAAUGCCUUCCAAAUUCUGCUAUCAGCCGACCUUCUGCUAGAUUUCUCGUGCAAUCGAACCUCUCCAGUGGAUAGCCCUCAGACAAG